GAAUGAAGGAAGCAUGGUAGUGUGCACAGAGAAUGAAAGGGUCGUCAUGUCUGCUCUCUCUGAUGCUUAAAUGAUUUGGGGGCCUGGAUUAGACCCACAUCU